CACAAAUUCCCAUCUCGGCGAACAGAACCACAACAACGAGCACCCAAGCUACAAACCUUCUCCCAAACAUUGAGAAAGCUGGUGUUAAUAAAACCAAAGAAUAGACAGUAGUGCUUUGGAAAGUUAAAUGUAAAACACUCUUGCAUGUCUCUGGAAAUUUUCACAAUUACCACAAUAUUGAGAACUAUUUGAAAAAUUGAUAAAGUUUUCUCAUAUCUCACAUAUUGGUUUAUCAAAUUAUUUUUUUUCUCUAAGCUACUCAAACCUUAUUAAGAGUUAAAAUGUGAAAGAUUGCUUUGUCACAUGCCAGUGAAUAAAGUUAGGAUUAAGCAUUUGUCACUUGUUUACUUAAACUCUUCAUGGGGUUUUCACAUACCGACAGGAACUGACAGAAGUUCUAUAUUCUGUUGUCAAUCAUUUACAUGUACAGGUUGAAAAGUGCUGUUGUUGAAUAUUAAAGAUUGCAAAGAUUAUAUUUGCUUAUUAUGAUAUUGUAUCAUUUUUGCAUAGUUCUCCAGUAGUUUGUAAGAAUAAUAUAGGGAUAUAAAAGGUAGGUAGUCGGUCAAAUGCAACUUUGACUGGUAGGUACAAACCCGCAAUAAUGAAAAAAAAUCCUUAUUUGAGUAAAUUCUGACUGUCAAAUUGUAUAUCUUAUUCUUGGAUCCCAGCACAUGAUGGAGUCGGAGCCAAUGGAGAUCAGCAAGGACAGGGAUGAUCGACAUCUGCUUAUAGACAGCAGAAUUUCAGAUGAGCAGAAAUGUGGAUGGGAGGCAAGAGAGUAAAAUGUGGCAUUCGGGAAGUUAUUUGUAAAAGGACAGUGACAUGUGUUUUGAUGGAUCUUUCCUGAAUCUCUCCAUAUAUAAGUCUGUGGCCUGACUUCCUCUGUGAUUGUAUUUCUGCUGUGCUUCUCUCCAUGACCCAGUUGUCUGUUGAGCCAUGAAUAUGCAGGAAACAGGUUCUGACUACACCACCAGAUUGGUGGUAGCCAUGAUGUGGACGUGCCAGUGUUGGA